rnacentral:rRNA from 1 species
CUGCCUGCCCGGUGACAUCAGUUAAACGGCCGCGGUAUCCUGACCGUGCAAAGGUAGCAUAAUCAUUUGUCCUCUAAAUAAGGACUUGUAUGAAAGGCCACACGAGGGUUUAACUGUCUCUUACUUCCAAUCAGUGAAAUUGACCUUCCCGUGAAGAGGCGGGAAUAAAACAAUAAGACGAGAAGACCCUAUGGAGCUUCAAUUAAUUAGCUCAAAAGGAUUUAUUUACCAGACCGACAGGAACAACAUAUUCCUUCCAUGGGCUAGCAAUUUAGGUUGGGGCGACCUCGGAGUACAAAAUAACCUCCGAGUGAUAUUAAUCUAGACGUACCAGUCAAAAUGCUCACUUACUUAUUGAUCCAAAACUUCUUUGAUCAACGGAACAAGUUACCCUAGGGAUAACAGCGCAAUCCUAUUUAAGAGUCCAUAUCGACAAUAGGGUUUACGACCUCGAUGUUGGAUCAGGACAUCCUAAUGGUGCAGCAGCUAUUAAGGGUUCGUUUGUUCAACGAUUAAAGUCCUACGUGAUCUGAG